UACAAGAAUCCAUAGUGAUUCGACUCUUUAAGGAUAGCAAACACCAUACUCUAGAUCGCUGCAUGUUAAGAACCCUACAGCAGCGACCUAGUUUGCGUCUGCUCUGCUUUUCGAGAUCGAAGAUGUAUCUCCAGAUCUAAUCUUCCACUCCCAAGACCCUCUCCUUGGAACCAAAGCUAGUGACAUGAAUCCUUGGGGCCAGC
rnacentral:lncRNA from 1 species